rnacentral:tRNA from 1 species
GCCUAUUUAAUAUAAAGUGUAUAUUUGGCUUCCAACCAAAAAGUCUAGGAAUCUACCCUAGAACAGGCA